AACGAACGCUGGCGGCGUGCCUAACACAUGCAAGUCGAACGAGAAAGGGGCUUCGGCUCCGAGUAAAGUGGCGCACGGGUGAGUAACACGUGGGUAACCUGCCUCUAAGAUUGGGAUAACUCGUCGAAAGAUGAGCUAAUACCGAAUAAGACCACAGUUCCUGCGGGAACAGAGGUCAAAGGUAGCCUCUGCAUGCAAGCUAUCACUUAGAGAUGGGCCUGCGCACCAUUAGCUAGUUGGUAGGGUAAAGGCCUACCAAGGCAAAGAUGGUUAGCUGGUCUGAGAGGAUGAUCAGCCACACUGGAACUGAGACACGGUCCAGACUCCUACGGGAGGCAGCAGUGGGGAAUAUUGCGCAAUGGGCGAAAGCUUGACGCAGCAACGCCGCGUGAGUGAUGAAGGCCUUCGGGUCGUAAAGCUCUGUCGGGAGGAACGAAUGCUCCUGAGGUUAACAGCCUCGGGAGGUGACGGUACCUUCAAAGGAAGCACCGGCUAACUCUGUGCCAGCAGCCGCGGUAAUAC
rnacentral:rRNA from 1 species